GGCAUUUCUGGCAAGGCGCACUCCUGGUUUGAAUCCUACCUCACUGGGCGCUCGUUCAAUGUGUCAUGGCAAGGUCAGCUGUCUGUACCUCACCGCCUCACCACAGGGGUGCCCCAAGGUUCGGUGAUGGGACCACUUCUCUUUGCCAUUUACAUCACCUCGCUGGGCCCUAUCAUCCGCUCGCAAGGUUUUUCCUAUCAUUGCUAUGCCGAUGAUACUCAACUGUUUCUGUCUUUCCCUCCUGAGGACACCACUGUCUCGGCACGGAUCUCAGACUUGCUGAUAUAUCCACAUGGAUGAAAAAUCACCACCUUCAGCUGAACCUGGCCAAAACGGAACUGAUAGUCUUUCCAGCCAAACAGGUCAUCCACCACAAUAUCAGUAUCAAUAUUGACUCCUUAUCUCUUGUUUCCAUCCAAAACAGCAAGAAACCUCAGGGUCAUGGGUUCUGCUCCCAUCUACCUAAAUGCUCUUGUAAGGGCAAAUUUUACACCCAGAAUGCUGCGCUCUUCUAGUGAGCGUCGUUUGGCACUGCCGUCUGUGCAAGUACGGCAGUCCAGACUAUUCUCAUUUGUAGUUCCACGUUGGUGGAAUGAACUGCCUAGCACUACCAGAGCAGGGGCGUCCCUCUCUACCUUUAAGAAGCUUUUGGAGACCCAACUCUUCAGAGAGCACUUCCCGUCCUAACUGGCACUUCGACUAGUGCGUAACUUGCAAUUAUAGCAGUUACAUUUCUGCACUUCUUUUUCUUUUUUCAUUUCUUUUUGUUAUAUUUCUUAUGUAAAUUAGUAUUUAUUGUUACACCAGGUUCUAUUGCUCGUAGCUUGACUAUUCUCUCCCUUGUACGUCGCUUUGGACAAAAGCGUCUGCUAAAUGACUAAAUGUAAAUGUAAAUGUAAAUGUAAAGGGAGACCAAUGCCGGAGCUAAAAUGUAUGCUUCAAACGACGGGACAGAAGAUAACUCGAUCGACUACUCACAUUCAAAGCCAAAUUGCUUUAAAAGUUUUUGGAACCUCAAGAAUAGAUUUGGUUUUGGACGUACAGCGGAUGUCACUACCCGAUCUAAGUUGCAGACACAAACGGUUAACGGCGUAAGGCUCAACGUUGACAGGGAGAACAAAAUACAUCGGGAUAUCCAGUAUAUCUUUAACUUCUUUAUUAUACAAACGUAUACGCUUCUUAAAGUAUACCGUCUUUCGUGAAGUUCCCCAAGCUGUAGCUAGCGAUUGUAGUCCGCUGUCGACAGUGUCGCAAAGUGAAGCAUGCGCGACCUGGAUCGGGUAGUGACAGCGGAGACUAAAUAUUAGCAAGGGGGAGGGGGGGUUUCUCACCCCUCAUUCGCUAACAUUACAUCGAUUUCAG
ensembl:lncRNA